rnacentral:lncRNA from 1 species
AGAUCCAGUUGAGUUGGGAUUUCACUGCCAAGGACAGAUCCCGCUGGCCGCCCAGGAGCUCGCACUCACAAGGCCCUGUCCAAGGAGAGUGAGCACAGAGCAAGGCCUCAAGAGAUGCAGAAGCAAGAGGGUGGCAUUCGGAGGCCUUGGGAAGCCCUGUCAUCACCCCAAGCUUGGCUGCCAGAAAGCCGGUGUCAGAGGAAACGGGCUGCGUGCGGCGUGAGACCAGGGUAAAAGCAGCCGACUAGUGGCAGCUCCCGCUCCCCACCCAGCUGUGUGCGCCCAGGGCCACCUGGAAGCCUUUUCAAAGCAGACCCAUUGCACCCUGGUUCAGACCUACCAACUGCGUCAGAAUCGAAGAGGAGGGAAGCUGGCUCUCAAGUCACUGUCAGCGUCCCUGAGGCUUUCCUGUCCUCUGGGUCACACAUGAGUGAACAUCCCCCAACAAGAAUGUCCACUGAGCAGCUGAGAACUGUGAUUUGUCCUCUGUUAUGAGUUAGGGGGUGAAAGGUAAGUGCAAAAUUUUGUUUAUUCAAGAAAUCCUGUGUUUGUUUGUUUUUUUUUUUUUCUUUUUCGGCUGCACUUGCAGCAUGUGAAGUGCCCAGGCUAGGAGUCAAAUCGGAGCUGCUGCUGCUGCUGGCCUACCCCAUAGCCACGGCAGCGCCAGAUCCUUAACCCCUCGAGAGAGGCCAGAUGUCGAACCCAAAUCUUCGGGGACACUGUGUCAGGUUCUUAACCCGCUAAGCCGCAACGAGAACUCCCAAGAAAUUCUAGCACCCUCUCUGUCAUAGACAAGGGUAGCCACAUUCCUUAAUUUCGGGAGCUGAAGGUCACGGUGGGAAGCUGGACACGUAAACAGCUGAGUGGGAAGAGAAUGCUGAUGGACGCAGCAGUUCCCCUGGGUGGAAACAACCCUUGGUGGGACUGAGAGGAUUCUGCUCCUUUCACCACCCCUGCAGCCUCUGGUCCCAAGCACAUUGCUGGCGAGGGGACCUUUAUAGCUCUCUGGGGUUGUCUUUCUCAGUUUCAUGCUCGGCUAGCUCAGGCCCUCGCCAGGGCUUAUUCGCCUGCAGUGGACUCUUGGCCGACUCCAUGGGAUGGAGCCCUGUGCCUAAGCUCCAGUCUGAGGACCUGAGACUCCAUCUCUUUCUGUGGCCCGGGCAUCAUGCGACACCUGCCUCUGAUUCCAGUUUCUUCCUGGCUUCUCUUGGCCCCUCUCCAGCCCCUGAACCCUAGCCCCUGAGCCUCACAGCUCUGCACUGCUGCCAAUUCCCUUGUUCACAUUUCUCCCCCACCUGCCACAGCCCCACCCACUGCCUCUUGCUGGCUCUCCAUGACCCUAGUCACCUGCCCUCAGAAAUGUCACGGCCCUGUCACCUCCAUCUCCUGAUAGCAUCCUCUGCCUGCUUCAUUUCCUACUGUUCCCUUCAUCUCAUUUUAUUUCUAAUGGGAGCAUCUGAUGAUAUGAAUUCUAAGUGGAAAGCACACACUUGGAGGGUUUCAUAUAUAAAUGACUCACUUUUUUUUUAUUUACUAUUACUGCCGUGCAAUUAGUUGCCCUUAAACCAGUGAGUUCUCCCAAAACAAUGCCUUUUUUUAAAAAUGCCCUUUAAAGGUUUUCACCUCUGCAAGAUUUCUGUUCCUUGAUAAUAAUGGUGGUUACUGCUUCGUUUACAGACCUAAGGAGUUAGAGAAUGUGCAUUUAUAAGAGUUCUCAUCCUUCACUAAGCCUCUUAAUUACCUGGGAUGCUUUUAAAAAACACAAUACCAGGCCUCCACCUUCAGAUACUUCCGUUCAGUCGGCCCAAAGUUGGGCUCUGCAUCAAUAUUUUAAACACACCUCCCAGGAGAGGCUGAUGUGCAGAAAGGCUUGAGAUUCACUGAUUUAUAGGAAAAUCAUUCAUGAUAAAUGUAUAUUCAAAGAGUCGAUUCCUGAGCGUCUCAGUUUAAAGCAGUGGCUCCUAACCAAAUCCCUCUGAGGCAAAGCAAAAGGUCUUAAAUCCCGCCCUACCUCCACCCUCUCCCAAUUAAUCACCAGUAGAAAAGAACUGUGAUAAAGAAUUGAAAGGCAGAGUUCCCUUUGUGGCCCAGCGGAAAACAAUUCUGCCUAGUAUCCAUGAAGAUGCUGGUUUGAUCCCUGGCCUCGCUCAAUGGGUCAGGGAUCUGGUGUUGCCCUGAGCUGUGGUGUAGUCACAGAUGCGGCUCAGAUCUUCCCUUGCUGUGGCUGGAGCGAAGGCCAACAGCUGUAGCUCCAAUUCGACUCCUGCCUGGGAACCACGUACCGAGGGUGCAGCNAAAAAAAAAAAAAAAAAAAAAAAAAAAAAAAAAAAAA